rnacentral:rRNA from 1 species
UACGUAGGGGGCAAGCGUUGUCCGGAAUCAUUGGGCGUAAAGAGCGUGUAGGCGGCCCGAUAAGUCCGCUGUGAAAGCCCAGGGCUCAACCCUGGGAUGCCGGUGGAUACUGUCGGGCUCGAGUCCGGAAGAGGAGUGUGGAAUUCCUGGUGUAGCGGUGAAAUGCGCAGAUAUCAGGAGGAACACCAAUGGCGAAGGCAGCACUCUGGGACGUGACUGACGCUGAGACGCGAAAGCGUGGGGAGCAAACAGG